GAUGAACGCUGGCGGCGUGCCUAAUACAUGCAAGUCGAGCGGACAGACGUGUACCUUUCCUCUCUGACGUUAGCGGCGGAAGGGUUAGUAACACGUGUAUACCCUCCCUAUAAAACUGGGAUCACUUCGUUAAACCGGAGCUAAUACCGGAUAAUAUAUUAAACCGCAUGGUUCCAUAGUUAAAGAGGGUUUUGCUGUCACUGAUAGAUGGAUCCGCGCGUCAUUAGCUAGUUGGUAAGGUAACGGCUUACCAAGUCGACGAUGCGUAGCCGACCUGAGAGGGUGAUCGGCCACACUGGAACUGAGACACGGUCCAGACUCCUACGGGAGGCAGCAGUAGGGAAUCUUCGACAAUGGGCGAAAGCCUGACGGAGCAACGCCGCGUGAGUGAUGAAGGUCUUCGGAUUGUAAAACGCUGUUGUAAGGAAAGAACAGCUGUGUACUAAAAAAGAGACGUCUUGACGGUACCGAAACAAAAAGCCCCGGCUAACUACGUG
rnacentral:rRNA from 1 species